rnacentral:rRNA from 1 species
UCCUACGGGGCGCAGCAGUGGGGGAUAUUGGACAAUGGGGGAAACCCUGAUCCAGCGACGCCGCGUGAGUGAAGAAGUAUUUCGGUAUGUAAAGCUCUAUCAGCAGGGAAGAAAGAAAUGACGGUACCUGAGUAAGAAGCCCCGGCUAACUACGUGCCAGCAGCCGCGGUAAUACGUAGGGGGCAAGCGUUAUCCGGAAUUACUGGGUGUAAAGGGAGCGUAGACGGCAUGGCAAGUCUGAUGUGAAAACCCGGGGCUCAACCCCGGGACUGCAUUGGAAACUGUCAGGCUAGAGUGUCGGAGAG